rnacentral:rRNA from 1 species
CUACCAGGGUUUCUAAUCCUGUUUGCUCCCCACGCUUUCGCACCUCAGUGUCAGUAUUAGUCCAGGUGGUCGCCUUCGCCACUGGUGUUCCUUCCUAUAUCUACGCAUUUCACCGCUACACAGGAAAUUCCACCACCCUCUACCAUACUCUAGUCAGUCAGUUUUGAAUGCAGUUCCCAGGUUGAGCCCGGGGAUUUCACAUCCAACUUAACAAACCACCUACGCGCGCUUUACGCCCAGUAAUUCCGAUUAACGCUUGCACCCUCUGUAUUACCGCGGCUGCUGGCAC